UACGUAGGUGGCAAGCGUUGUCCGGAUUUACUGGGCGUAAAGGGCGCGUAGGCGGCCACCGCAAGUCGACUGUGAAAUCUCCGGGCUUAACCCGGAAAGGUCAACUGAUACUGCGGGGCUAGAGUGCGGAAGGGGCAACUGGAAUUCUUGGUGUAGCGGUGAAAUGCGUAGAUAUCAAGAGGAACACCUGCGGCGAAGGCGGGUUGCUGGGCCGACACUGACGCUGAGGCGCGAAAGCGUGGGGAGCAAACAGG
rnacentral:rRNA from 1 species